UACGAAGGGGGCUAGCGUUGCUCGGAAUUACUGGGCGUAAAGCGCACGUAGGCGGUCUUUUAAGUCAGGGGUGAAAUCCUGGAGCUCAACUCCAGAACUGCCUUUGAUACUGAAGAUCUUGAGUUCGGGAGAGGUGAGUGGAACUGCGAGUGUAGAGGUGAAAUUCGUAGAUAUUCGCAAGAACGCCAGUGGCGAAGGCGGCUCACUGGCCCGAUACUGACGCUGAGGCACGAAAGCGUGGGGAGCAAACAGG
rnacentral:rRNA from 1 species